rnacentral:lncRNA from 1 species
CAACUUCGUCCGCCGGACUCGGAAUGCCGCGAGACUUUGCGAGGGGCCUCCGUGUGUCAAAAGUAGGCCGCGGCCUAAGCCGUACCAAAAAAUAACCGCCCGAAGGCCGGGGCGCCAAGUUCGUCCAGCGGAAAAAGGCCACAAAAACGGGUGGGCUAUAGCCUUGGGGGGUGGGGCUGGCCAACUUUGUCCGCCGGAUUCGGAAAGCCGCGACACUUUGCGAGGGGCCUCCGUGUGCCAAAAAUAGGGAGUGGGCAAAGCCGCGCCCAAAAAUAACCGCCCGAAGGCCGGGGCGCCAAUUUCGUCCAGCGGAAAAAGGCCACAAAAACGGGUGGGCUAUAGCCUUGGGGGGUGGGGCUGGCCAACUUCGUCCGCCGGACUCGGAAUGCCGCGAGACUUUGCGAGGGGCCUCCGUGUGUCAAAAGUAGGCCGCGGCCUAAGCCGUACCAAAAAAUAAACACCCGAAGGCCGGGGCGCCAAGUUCGUCCAGCGGAAAAAGGCCUCAAAAACGGGUGCGCUAUAGCCUUGGGGGGUGGGGCUGGCCAACUUCGUCCGCCGGACUCGGAAUGCUGGGAGACUUUGCGAGGGGCCUCCGUGUGCCAAAAAUAGGCCGUGGGCAUUGCCGUACCCAAAAAUAACCGCCCGUAGGCCGGGGCGCCAAGUUCGUCCAGCGGAAAAAGGCCACAAAAACGGGUGGGCUAUAGCCUUGGGGGGUGGGGCUGGCCAACUUCGUCCGCCGGACUCGGAAUGCCGCGAGACUUUGCGAGGGGCCUCCGUGUGUCAAAAGUAGGCCGCGGCCUAAGCCGUACCAAAAAAUAAACACCCAAAGGCCGGGGCGCCAAGUUCGUCCAGCGGAAAAAGGCCACAAAAACGGGUGGGCUAUAGCCUUGGGGGGUGGGGCUGGCCCACUUCGUCCGCCGGACUCAGAAUGCCGCGAGACUAUGCGAGGCGCCUUCGUGUGCCAAAAAUAGGGCGCGGGCCUAUCCGCAUCCAAAAAUAACCGCCCGAAGGCCGGGGCGCCAAGUUCGUCCAGCGGAAAAAGGCCACAAAAACGGGUGGGCUAUAACCUUGGGGGGUGGGGCUGGCCAACUUUGUCCGCCNNNNNNNNNNNNNNNNNNNNNNNNNNNNNNNNNNNNNNNNNNNNNNNNNNNNNNNNNNNNNNNNNNNNNNNNNNNNNNNNNNNNNNNNNNNNNNNNNNNNCUGGGGCGCCAAGUUCGUCCAGCGGAAAAAGGCCACAAAAACGGGUGGGCUAUAGCCUUGGGGGGUGGGGCUGGCCAACUUCGUCCGCCGGACUCGGAAUGCCACGAGACUAUGCGAGGGGCCUCCGUGUGCCAAAAAUAGGCCUUGGGCAAAGCCGCGCCCAAAAAUAACCGGCCGAAAGCCGGGGCGCCAAGUUCGUCCAGCGGAAAAAGGCCACAAAAACGGGUGGGCUAUAGCCUUGGGGGGUGGGGCUGGCCAACUUUGUCCGCCGGAUACGGAAAGCCGCGACACUUUGCGAGGCGCCUCCGUGUGCCAAAAAUAGGCCGCGGGCAAAGCCGCGCCCAAAAAUAACCGCCCGAAGGCCGGGGCGCCAAGUUCGUCCAGCGGAAAAAGGCCACAAAAACGGGUGGGCUAUAGCCUUGGGGGGUGGGGCUGGCCAACUUCGUCCGCCGGACUCGGAAUGCCGCGAGACUUUGCGAGGGGCCUCCGUAUGCCAAAAAUAGGCCGCGGGCAAAGCCGCGCCCAAAAAUAACCGCCCGAAGGCCGGGGCGCCAAGUUCGUCCAGCGGAAAAAGGCCACAAAAACGUGUGGGCUAUAGCCUUGGGGGGUGGGGCUGGCCAACUUCGUCCGCCGGACUCGGAAUGCCGCGAGACUUUGCGAGGGGCCUCCGUGUGCCAAAAAUAGGGCGCGGUUAUAGCCGCGCCAAAAAAUAACCACCCGAAAGCCGGGGCGCCAAGUUCGUCCAGCGGAAAAAGGCCACAAAAACGGGUGGGCAAUAGCCUUGGGGGGUGGGGCUGGCCAACUUCGUCCGCCGGACUCGGAAUGCCGCGAGACUUUGCGAGGCGCCUCCGUGUGCCAAAAAUAAGUCGCGGGCCGAGCCGCGUCUAAAAAUAACCGCCCGAAGGCUGGGGCGCCAAGUUCGUCCAGCGGAAAAAGGCCACAAAAACGGGUGGGCUAUAGCCUUGGGGGGUGGGGCCGGCCAACUUCGUCCGCAGGACUCGGAAUGCCGCGAGACUAUGCGAGGGGCCUCCGUGUGCCAAAAAUAGGCCUCGGGCAAAGCCACGCCCAAAAAUAACCGCCCGAAGGCCGGGGCGCCAAGUUCGUCCAGCGGAAAAAGGCCACAAAAACGGGUGGGCUAUAGCCUUGGGGGGUGGGGCUGGCCAACUUUGUCCGCCGGAUACGGAAAGCCGCGACACUUUGCGAGGCGCCUCCGUGUGCCAAAAAUAGGCCGCGGGCAAAGCCGCGCCCAAAAAUAACCGCCCGAAGGCCGGGGCGCCAAGUUCGUCCAGCGGAAAAAGGCCACAAAAACGGGUGGGCUAUAGCCUUGGGGGGUGGGGCUGGCCAACUUCGUCCGCCGGACUCGGAAUGCCGCGAGACUUUGCGAGGGGCCUCCGUGUGCCAAAAAUAGGUCGCGGUUAUAGCCGCGCCAAAAAAUAACCGCCCGAAGGCCGGGGCGCCAAGUUCGUCCAGCGGAAAAAGGCCACAAAAACGGGUGGGCUAUAGCCUUGGGGGGUGGGGCUGGCCAACUUCGUCCGCCGGACUCGGAAUGCCGCGAGACUUUGCGAGGCGCCUCCGUGUGCCAAAAAUAAGUCGCGGGCCGAGCCGCGUCUAAAAAUAACCGCCCGAAGGCUGGGGCGCCAAGUUCGUCCAGCGGAAAAAGGCCACAAAAACGGGUGGGCUAUAGCCUUGGGGGGUGGGGCUGGCCAACUUCGUCCGCCGGACUCGGAAUGCCACGAGACUAUGCGAGGGGCCUCCGUGUGCCAAAAAUAGGCCUUGGGCAAAGCCGCGCCCAAAAAUAACCGGCCGAAAGCCGGGGCGCCAAGUUCGUCCAGCGGAAAAAGGCCACAAAAACGGGUGGGCUAUAGCCUUGGGGGGUGGGGCUGGCCAACUUUGUCCGCCGGAUUCGGAAAGCCGCGACACUUUGCGAGGGGCCUCCGUGUGCCAAAAAUAGGCCGCGGGCAAAGCUGCGCCCAAAAAUAACCGCCCGAAGGCCGGGGCGCCAAGUUCGUCCAGCGGAAAAAGGCCGCAAAAACGGGUGGGCUAUAGCCUUGGGGGGUGGGGAUGGCCAACUUUGUCCGCCGGACUCGGAAUGCCGCGAGACUUUGCGAGGGGCCUCCGUGUGCCAAAAAUAGGCCGCGGGCAAAGCCGCGCCCAAAAAUAACCGCCCGAAGGCCGGGGCGCCAAGUUCAUCCAGCAGAAAAAGGCCACAAAAACGGGUGGGCUAUAGCCUUGGGGGGUGGGGCUGGCCAACUUCGUCCGCCGGACUCGGAAUGCCGCGAGACUUUGCGAGGGGCCUCCGUGUGCCAAAAAUAGGGCGCGGUCAUAGCCGCGCCAAAAAAUAACCACCCGAAAGCCAGGGCGCCAAGUUCGUCCAGCGGAAAAAGGCCACAAAAACGGGUGGGCAAUAGCCUUGGGGGGUGGGGCUGGCCAACUUCGUCCGCCGGACUCGGAAUGCCGCGAGACUUUGCGAGGCGCCUCCGUGUGCCAAAAAUAAGUCGCGGGCUGAGCCGCGUCUAAAAAUAACCGCCCGAAGGCUGGGGCGCCAAGUUCGUCCAGCGGAAAAAGGCCACAAAAACGGGUGGGCUAUAGCCUUGGGGGGUGGGGCUGGCCAACUUCGUCCGCCGGACUCGGAAUGCCGCGAGACUUUGCGAGGGGCCUCCGUGUGCCAAAAAUAGGCCGCGGGCAUAGCCGCACCCAAAAAUAACCGCCCGAAGGCCCGGGCGCCAAGUUCGUCCAGGCGGACGAAAGGCCACGAAAAACGGGUGGGCUAUAGACUUGGGGGGUGGGGCUGGCCAACUUCGUCCGCCUUACUCGGAAUGCCGCGAGACUUUGCGAGGGUCCUCUGUGUGCCAAAAAUAGGCCGC